rnacentral:rRNA from 1 species
AACCCGAGAGAUCGGGCGUUCCCUCGGGGGACAGGGUGACAGGUGGUGCAUGGUUGUCGUCAGCUCGUGUCGUGAGAUGUUGGGUUAAGUCCCGCAACGAGCGCAACCCUCGACCUUAGUUGCCAGCAUUCAGUUGGGCACUCUAAGGUGACUGCCGGCUAAAAGUCGGAGGAAGUGGGGAUGACGUCAAAUCAUCAUGCCCCUUAUGACCUGGGCUACACACGUGCUACAAUGGGCGGUACAAAGGGUCGCGAACCCGCGAGGGGGAGCCAAUCCCAAAAAGACCGCUCUCAGUUCGGAUUGCAGGCUGCAACUCGCCUGCAUGAAGCCGGAAUCGCUAGUAAUCGCGGAUCAGCAUGCCGCGGUCGAAUACGUUCCCGGGCCUU